UGCGGGGUAGAGCAGUUUGGUAGCUCGUGAGGCUCAUAAUCUCAAGGCCAUAGGUUCAAAUCCUAUCCCCGCAA
rnacentral:tRNA from 1 species